rnacentral:lncRNA from 1 species
CACAGCUGCAAGCUAAGGAAGCUCUUCGCUGGGUCCUGCAGCAUACAGGCCGCGGGUGAGGUGCAGUCGCCUCCUGUCACAGGCAGCAGGGCUUCCAUGCCACAGAGGGAGGGCAGCCCCUCCAAGGCAGGGCCUCACCCCUCAUCCAGACCUGUCUGAAGAUUCUGCAACGAACGCCCAAGUCCAUGGAUGCUUCCCUGGCCAAGGCCUGGACCGGCCUCUCUUGGACUUUAUGAGUACUGUGUUAUUGUGCGUAUGGGCACGCCUCCCCAUAAAGGGUGAGGUCAUCCACUGAGGAAGAAGAACAUUUCUCAGAAUUGCGCCUGAGAUCUGAGCAGGGAAACUUGAGCAGGACUGAAUCUCUAGGCAGCUACUACAGUGUUUCCCUCUGUGGGCAUUUGAUAGAUAUUUGGUGCUUGCUUCUCUUCUGCUCCCACAUAAAACCUCAAGAUUCCAUCCUCCAAGGAGUCGGUUCCGCCUGUCACUUCACUCCAAGCUCAGCUUCAGAGAUAAGGCUUCAGAAGAGAAAUGCGUCUUCCCACAUAUGGCUCUGUUUUGAACUUAAAAACAGAUUUGAUGGCAGGAAACUGAAGCUCUUGGGAAGGCGGAAGUUGCACGUGGUCUCACAGUCAACUGUGCCAGAAUAGGAGGCCAGGAACCAUCUCUGCUGGAGGAAGACCCACCACGCAUCCCUUCAAGAGUGCCAAGGUCCAGAGCAAGCGCUUCCCUUCUAUGGGCACAGGAGGGCUGUGGGAGCCCACAAAUGUGCUUCUGGC